rnacentral:lncRNA from 1 species
CUCGAUCUCAUCAUUCAACGAAGCUAAACCACCAAGCACGACCUCCAUGUCGGAAGUCUCGCCGGAUUCUUUGCCGGCUCUGAUCAGAACAUUCGCUACAAACGGCACGAACUCCCUCACGAAUAGGUAAUCUUGACCCUGCCACCAAAAACGAAGCCGUUUUAGGCUCACCGAGUGAUUAUUAAUCUUUCGUUUCAUCGGUAAUUCAACAGUACCAGCCAAGUUUUGAAGGAGGAGAGAUCAACGGAUCCGUCGCGGAUGGAGACGACGAAGUCAUGACGUGUAGCUGCCGUGUAUAACGAACGGUGCUUAUCAAGCCACGUGUCGAUCAUGCCUCUCUUCUCUGUUUUCUC